AUACUUACCUGGACGGGAUCAAUAGGCGAUCAAUAAGGCUCAUGGCCUUGGUCAGUGACCUCCAUUGCACGCUGGAGGGGUGCUGCCCUAAGGUCUCCAUAAAUUGGGAGAGCCUACGUCAUAAUUUGUUGUAGAGGGGGCCUGCGUUCGGGUGGUCACUAC